GACAGCAGGACCCUCGGCCCCAACUGACAAACUCAGAGCCCUGACAAGUCGCUCUGGUUCUGCUGACGGAUGGACGCGAUCACGCUCCCUCCCCAGAUUCCGUGACUAUCUUCAGGACCCGCAAGGCAUUCAGUUAUUUGGGGUGAAGGUCCCACGAAGGCUGGAUGGCCAUUCAUUGGGCGUGUACAGGCGCAGGGGAACCAGGGCCCCCCUUAUCUGCCAAUCCGACAGACAUUUUGAGCAAGCUCCACUUCGAGUCACGUUCAGUCAAUCCUUAACUCUCUUUUUGAUUGAAUAUCUUUAACUCCUUUAGCUUUUCCUGAGAGAAUCUAUUUUCUUUCCAUGCUCCUCUAGGCCCUAUGAAGCUUCCCCAUGUUCGUUUUAAAAUGCAGACACCAAAGUUUCACGUUUCUGACUAGCGCACAAUUCAUACUCUCAGUAGACCCCCAUUUUAGAUUUGCUUUAAGGGCAUCCUUUAGCUGAUUCCUCCAUCCAUCCCCACCCCCACCAGCCCUUCCGACCUCCUACUCCUACCUCCCUGCAGCUUCCUGACAGCCCUCCACGCCGGUGGGUCUCCCACCUACUCUCUUUUAAACUCCUCCACGGAGGAACUUUUCUCUGGCGUUACCGCGGCCGGCUCAUGAGUGUUUGCUGAGCCGAAUGGAGCCCGUUGGGUAGGGUUUUUGCACUUCAACAACAAGGGGACUCUUGACCGGGGCCCAAGAAAUUCCAGGCAACAAAGGGCCGAUUUAAGGUUCAUGGAAAUCCGGUGGCCAUUUAACAUUCAAAUUCAGCCCACGCGCCAUCCUGGUACCGGGCUGUAGACAAAGCCAUCCGGGAUGCUAAGUGGAUCUUCCCCUCCAGAGGCCGGUCUGUUACUCUGUUUAGUAGAGCACCGCGGAUAGCGGACAGGGACCGAAGGACCCUGGGCUAACGGUGGGCCUCACCUUACCCAUCUGCCCAGCUCUUGCCACUCUUCUGUCACAGGACUGAGAGUAAGACAGGUCAGAGCACUAAACAAAGGAAAGAAACAAUGACACCUGGAGGCCAAUUCUAGGAACCUCCCUCCUGCAAAACUUGAGAAUUGAUUACAUAUGCAGAAUAAACAGGAAAUCAUCUCAGGGAGAAGGCACCAACAUCAGGAAGCCCCGAAAAGAUUUUUUGCAAUAGGUUUGCCAUGAUCAAAGCAAUCAUCACAGAAUGGUCAAAUUUUAUGGGAUCAUAAGAAGUCUUUCCCCAGGUUGGUCCUCAGACAACACAAUACAAUACUCAAAAGUUCAUUUCCAGCACGUGAAGCUUACCAGACUUUGUGCUCUGCUGGCGGAGCCCUUUGGAACCUACCACCAAAAUGAAAUAGCAGAUCUUUGUGAAACAGAAGUAAUUAUAGCUAAUAAAUCUGGACUAUAAUUUAAA